UUAAGUUCAGCGGGUAUUCCUACCUGAUCCGAGGUCAAAUUUUCAAAAGUUUAGGGGGUUUUACGGCAGGGACACCGCUAAUCCUUCCAAAGCGAGGUGGAUAAACUACUACGCUCAGAGUCUUAGCGAGCCCGCCACUGAAUUUCAGGGCCUACCGUUUUACCGGUAGUGCCCCAACACCAAGCCAGGCUUGAGGGUUG
rnacentral:misc_RNA from 1 species